UAUUCCUCUUGAUUCACCGGUGUUUGAGAGAAAAGACCCACACCUUCCACAACUUUGCGCUUUCGGGUCCAAUCCAUUUACUUCCAUUUGCGUUAAGCUCAUGAUAGCCGUUUUGGUCACAGUACUUGCCUUUUCCGUCGCCAAUGUGGGCUUUCUUAACCCAUCUUCCGUUCAAUCCCGAAAUCCUUUAACGGUCCCCCAAGGCGUUACCGCCCCUUCACCCCAAAUAAUAUUUAUACAGCCAUCUGUGGCUCCUGUAACCACCCCUAUUCCAACCACUCUCUCUCCAACCACCACUAUCACUACUACUACUCCUACCACGAGUGCUACUACCACAACCACCACCACUCCUGCGACAACUACAACUACAAUCAUCACUACAAUGAGCACGACCACGAUGGUAACGACAAGAGAGGCUGAAAUAGGAUUUCCGGGAUUUACGGACUGCGGUUUCCAAAAUUGCUUGUUUGAUGAGUUCACAGGCGUUUUCCAAAACGUAUCCAGCAUCUCAACCUGUUGUGCACUUUGUGGAGAAGAUGUUUUUUGUGGGAUAGGGUUUGAGGACUGUUUCUGCUUCAAAAGUUGCGCCCUGCGAAUUCCAACGCUCUGGUUAAUAGGAGCAACAAAUCAAGACUGCCCGGAAAUACCAUAAUUAGAACAAAUUUACGUAUUUUGCCCGAAAAAGUUAAUGCUUGCGGUGGUUGUACAAAUUUGAGCUUUC